rnacentral:rRNA from 1 species
GACGAACGCUGGCGGCGUGCUUAACACAUGCAAGUCGAACGGUGAAGGGGAGCUUGCUCCCCGGAUCAGUGGCGAACGGGUGAGUAACACGUGGGCAACCUGCCCCAGACUUCGGGAUAACGCUUCGAAAGAGGUGCUAAUACCGGAUACGAACUCCUUGGGCAUCCUGGGAGUUGGAAAGUUUUUCGGUCUGGGAUGGGCCCGCGGCCUAUCAGCUUGUUGGUGAGGUAACGGCUCACCAAGGCGACGACGGGUAGCCGGCCUGAGAGGGCGACCGGCCACACUGGGACUGAGACACGGCCCAGACUCCUACGGGAGGCAGCAGUGGGGAAUAUUGCGCAAUGGGCGAAGGCCUGACGCAGCAACGCCGCGUGAGGGAUGACGGCCUUCGGGUUGUAAACCUCUUUCAGCAGGGAAGAAGCGAAAGUGACGGUACCUGCAGAAGAAGCACCGGCUAACUACGUGCCAGCCGCCGCUGUAAAAC